UACGAAGGGGGCUAGCGUUGUUCGGAAUUACUGGGCGUAAAGCGUGCGCAGGCGGCUGCUCAAGUCAGGGGUGAAAGCCCAGAGCCUCAACUCUGGAAUUGCCUUUGAGACUGAGUGGCUUGAGUACGGGAGAGGUGAGUGGAAUUCCCAGUGUAGAGGUGAAAUUCGUAGAUAUUGGGAAGAACACCGGUGGCGAAGGCGGCUCACUGGCCCGUAACUGACGCUCAUGCACGACAGCGUGGGGAUCAAACAGG
rnacentral:rRNA from 1 species